rnacentral:rRNA from 1 species
UACGUAGGUGGCAAGCGUUGUCCGGAAUUAUUGGGCGUAAAGCGCGCGCAGGCGGUCCUUUAAGUCUGAUGUGAAAGCCCGGGGCUCACCCCCGGAAGUGCAUUGGAAACUGGUGGACUCGAGUCCCGGAGAGGAGAGUGGAAUUCCUGGUGUAGCGGUGAAAUGCGUAGAUAUCAGGAGGAACACCGGUGGCGAAGGCGGCUCUCUGGACGGUGACUGACGCUGAGACGCGAAAGCGUGGGGAGCAAACAGG